rnacentral:rRNA from 1 species
AGCGAACGCUGGCGGCAGGCUUAACACAUGCAAGUCGAGCGGGCGUAGCAAUACGUCAGCGGCAGACGGGUGAGUAACGCGUGGGAACGUACCUUUUGGUUCGGAACAACACAGGGAAACUUGUGCUAAUACCGGAUAAGCCCUUACGGGGAAAGAUUUAUCGCCGAAAGAUCGGCCCGCGUCUGAUUAGCUAGUUGGUGAGGUAAUGGCUCACCAAGGCGACGAUCAGUAGCUGGUCUGAGAGGAUGAUCAGCCACAUUGGGACUGAGACACGGCCCAAACUCCUACGGGAGGCAGCAGUGGGGAAUAUUGGACAAUGGGGGCAACCCUGAUCCAGCCAUGCCGCGUGAGUGAUGAAGGCCCUAGGGUUGUAAAGCUCUUUUGUGCGGGAAGAUAAUGACGGUACCGCAAGAAUAAGCCCCGGCUAACUUCGUGCCAGCAGCCGCGGUAAUACGAAGGGGGCUAGCGUUGCUCGGAAUCACUGGGCGUAAAGGGUGCGUAGGCGGGUCUUUAAGUCAGGGGUGAAAUCCUGGAGCUCAACUCCAGAACUGCCUUUGAUACUGAAGAUCUUGAGUUCGGGAGAGGUGAGUGGAACUGCGAGUGUAGAGGUGAAAUUCGUAGAUAUUCGCAAGAACACCAGUGGCGAAGGCGGCUCACUGGCCCGAUACUGACGCUGAGGCACGAAAGCGUGGGGAGCAAACAGG